rnacentral:rRNA from 1 species
GUAGGCUGCAACUCGCCUACACGAAGCUGGAAUCGCUAGUAAUCGCGGAUCAGCACGCCGCGGUGAAUACGUUCCCGGGCCUUGUACACACCGCCCGUCACACCAUGAGAGUCUGUAACACCCAAAGCCGGUGGAUAACCUUUAUAGGAGUCAGCCGUCUAAGGUAGGACAGAUGAUUAGGGUGAAGUCGUAACAAGGUAAC